UGCAGUCGAGCGGACAGAUGGGAGCUUGCUCCCUGAUGUUAGCGGCGGACGGGUGAGUAACACGUGGGUAACCUGCCUGUAAGACUGGGAUAACUCCGGGAAACCGGGGCUAAUACCGGAUGGUUGUUUGAACCGCAUGGUUCAAACAUAAAAGGUGGCUUCGGCUACCACUUACAGAUGGACCCGCGGCGCAUUAGCUAGUUGGUGAGGUAACGGCUCACCAAGGCAACGAUGCGUAGCCGACCUGAGAGGGUGAUCGGCCACACUGGGACUGAGACACGGCCCAGACUCCUACGGGAGGCAGCAGUAGGGAAUCUUCCGCAAUGGACGAAAGUCUGACGGAGCAACGCCGCGUGAGUGAUGAAGGUUUUCGGAUCGUAAAGCUCUGUUGUUAGGGAAGAACAAGUACCGUUCGAAUAGGGCGGUACCUUGACGGUACCUAACCAGAAAGCCACGGCUAACUACGUGCCAGCAGCCGCGGUAAUACGUAGGUGGCAAGCGUUGUCCGGAAUUAUUGGGCGUAAAGGGCUCGCAGGCGGUUUCUUAAGUCUGAUGUGAAAGCCCCCGGCUCAACCGGGGAGGGUCAUUGGAAACUGGGGAACUUGAGUGCAGAAGAGGAGAGUGGAAUUCCACGUGUAGCGGUGAAAUGCGUAGAGAUGUGGAGGAACACCAGUGGCGAAGGCGACUCUCUGGUCUGUAACUGACGCUGAGGAGCGAAAGCGUGGGGAGCGAACAGGAUUAGAUACCCUGGUAGUCCACGCCGUAAACGAUGAGUGCUAAGUGUUAGGGGGUUUCCGCCCCUUAGUGCUGCAGCUAACGCAUUAAGCACUCCGCCUGGGGAGUACGGUCGC
rnacentral:rRNA from 1 species